rnacentral:rRNA from 1 species
UACGUAGGGUGCAAGCGUUAAUCGGAAUUACUGGGCGUAAAGUGUGCGCAGGCGGCCGCGCAAGUCGAGUGUGAAAGCCCCGGGCUUAACUUGGGAAUUGCGCUCGAAACUACGUGGCUGGAGUAUGGCAGAGGAAGGUGGAAUUCCACGUGUAGCGGUGAAAUGCGUAGAGAUGUGGAGGAACACCGAUGGCGAAGGCAGCCUUCUGGGCCAAUACUGACGCUCAUGCACGAAAGCGUGGGGAGCAAACAGG